GACAGAGGGUGCAAACGUUGUUCGGAAUUACUGGGCGUAAAGCGCGUGUAGGCGGCCCGGUAAGUCGGAUGUGAAAGCCCUGGGCUUAACCUAGGAAGUGCAUUCGAAACUCUCGGGCUUGAGUUCUGGAGAGGAAGGCGGAAUUCUCGGUGUAGAGGUGAAAUUCGUAGAUAUCGAGAGGAACACCGGUGGCGAAGGCGGCCUUCUGGACAGUGACUGACGCUGAGACGCGAAAGCGUGGGGAGCAAACAGG
rnacentral:rRNA from 1 species